rnacentral:rRNA from 1 species
GACGAACGCUGGCGGCGUGCUUAACACAUGCAAGUCGAACGGAAAGGCCCUGCUUUUGUGGGGUGCUCGAGUGGCGAACGGGUGAGUAACACGUGAGUAACCUGCCCUUGACUUUGGGAUAACUUCAGGAAACUGGGGCUAAUACCGGAUAGGAGCUCCUGCUGCAUGUUGGGGGUUGGAAAGUUUCGGCGGUUGGGGCUGGACUCGCGGCUUAUCAGCUUGUUGGUGGGGUAGUGGCUUACCAAGGCUUUGACGGGUAGCCUGCCUGAGAGGGUGGCCGGCGACAUUGGGACUGCGAUACGGCGCAGUCUCCUACGGGAGGCAGCAGUGGAGAAUAUUGCACAGUGGGCGCAAGCCUGAUGCGGCAACGCCGCGUGCGGGAUGCCGGCCUUCGGGUUGUGAACCGCUUUCGCCUGUGACGAAGCGUGAGUGACGGUACUGGGUAAAGAAGCACCGGCUAACUACGUG